rnacentral:rRNA from 1 species
AUUGAACGCUGGCGGCAGGCCUAACACAUGCAAGUCGAACGAGUGGCGGACGGGUGAGUAAUGUCUGGGAAACUGCCUGAUGGAGGGGGAUAACUACUGGAAACGGUAGCUAAUACCGCAUACCAUCGGAUGUGCCCAGAUGGGAUUAGCUAGUAGGUGGGGCAAAGGCUCACCUAGGCGACGAUCCCUAGCUGGUCUGAGAGGAUGACAAGCCACACAGGAACUGAGAGACGGUCGAGACUCCUACGGAAGGCAGCAGUAGGGAAUAUUGCACAAUGGGCGCAAGCCUGAUGCAGCCAUGCAACGUGUAUGAAGAAGGCCUUCGGGUUGUAAAGUGCUUACAGCGGGGAGGCGUUACCCGCAGAGGAAGCACCGGCUAACUCCGUGCCAGCCGCCGCGGUAAUUC